CAGCGCCACAAGUGGGAGUCGUGUUUAUUGGGCCUAAAGCGUCCGUAGCCGGUCAAGUAAAUCUUUUGUGAAAUCAUCGGCUUAACCCGAUGGCGUGCAGAAGACACUGCUUGACUAGGAACCGGGAGGAGUCAGAGGUAUGGGAUGGGGAGCGGUAAAAUGCGAUAAUCCAUCUUAGACCACCUGUGGCGAAGGCGUCUGACUAGAACGGAUUCGACGGUGAGGGACGAAAGCCAGGGGAGCGAUCCGGAUUAGAUACCCGAGUAGUCC
rnacentral:rRNA from 1 species